GAGAGGAGGAGAGAAGAGGAAGCGGCGAAGCCCUAUCGACGCAUCGGUUUCGAGAUAUGGCGGAGACACCGGAGCUCCUUGAUGCGAAUACCGACGAACGGCACAGAUCGUACCUGGCAGCGGUGGAGGGGCAGGAGCUUCACGAGUUGCGCCCUCGUGUAGCAAAGCAGUUGUUGCACCUGGACGACCGCUGGCUUGACAGGUUACGUGACGCUGGUUUGCUGCCACUCGCACGUACGCUUCAGGCCGGCGACGGCCAAGACGGUGGCGCCAAGAAGCGGAUGCAGCUGGAUCGCACUCUACUUGCGGUGUUGGCGGACAGGUGGCGUCCGGAGACGCACACGUUCCACUUGCCGUGCGGGGAGAUGGCCUCCACGUUGCAGGACAUGUCGUA